rnacentral:lncRNA from 10 species
CUCAUUCUCGUUCCUGCUGCCUUGUGAAGAGGUGUCUUCUGCUAUGAUUGUAAGUUUCCUGAGGUCUUCCCUAGCCAUGUGGAACUGUCCAGGAAUACAAAUGCUGAUGUGAUGCUAUUCAGAUCCUUAAGGUAAGGCAAAAUUCUGAUUGGAGCAGAACACUUCAGAAGUAUUUUUCAACGUAUACUGAGAAGUUGCUCUGCGACAGAUGAUAUGCCAAGCAGCUGGGAAGCAAAGAUGAGGAAGACAUGACCCUGUCCUGGAAAAGCUUCUUGACUUGAAGGCUGAAUAUUUGGAGAAGAAAGUGUUUCUUUAUGAUGGAGAACCAUGUGAAAACUGAAGGUCUGACAGCAGACGAUGGAAAGUCCAAGGAAUUGGCAUUAGAAAGAGAAAAUAAUGCACUCUCAAGGGACGUUAGUGGUUCAAGGUAGGCCAUACCCUUUGGCACAGAGAGGCAUUGCACAGUGACUUAAUAUGAGUAGAACAAUGGCUGAACAAUGGUGCAGAAACACAGAGUUUUAGCCAAAAGAGAAGGAUGGUAGAGCCACAGUCACGGACUUGCAUUCUGUGUGAAGCAGAGCCCUCUUUACCCACUGGGGAUUCUUAGACUGACAUAAAAAAGAAAGGAUGAAAGCAUUCCUAUUU